CGAGAGGUUGGUGCAUGGCCGUCGUCAGUUCGUACCGUAAGGCGUUCUGUUAAGUCAGAUAACGAACGAGACCCUCGUCCUUAAUUGCCAACCCAUUCUCCGGAGUGGGCGCACAUUAAGGGGACCGCUGGCGCUAAGUCAGAGGAAGGAGAGGUCAACGGUAGGUCAGUAUGCCCCGAAUCUCCCGGGCUACACGCGCGCUACAAAGGACAGGACAAUGGGAUGCAAUACCGAGAGGUAACGCCAACCCCGAAACCUGUUCGUAGUUCGGACUGAGGGCUGUAACUCGCCCUCACGAAGCUGGAUUCCGUAGUAAUCGCGGGUCAACAUCCCGCGGUGAAUAUGCCCCUGCUCUUU
rnacentral:rRNA from 1 species